rnacentral:misc_RNA from 1 species
GAUGAAGAACGCAGCGAAAUGCGAUACGUAAUGUGAAUUGCAGAAUUCAGUGAAUCAUCGAAUCUUUGAACGCAUAUUGCGCCUUCUGGUAUUCCGGAGGGCAUGCUUGUUUGAGUAUCAGUAACAACCUCAACUCUUCUUCAUUGCGGAGAAAGAGUUGGAUUUGAGCAUUUCCACAAGUUCGUCUUGGAGGAUUGCUUGAAAUAUGAGGUUCGGCCGGCAGUUGCCUGGGCUACAAGCAUUUCAUACUUAAUCCCGUCAAACGGAUUAUAUCCUUUGCUGCAGCCAAGAUACAGGGUAACUUUGCCAGUGUUCCGACUGAUGCAGGAAAGUUGAGAACAGCUUUUUGCUUUCUCUUCUAAACUCGAUCUCAAAUCAAGUAAGACUACCCGCUGAACUUAAGCAUAUCAAUAAGCGGAGGA